CAGCAGCCGCGGGAAUACAGAGGGUGCGAGCGUUAAUCGGAUUUACUGGGCGUAAAGCGUGCGUAGGCGGCUUCUUAAGUCGGAUGUGAAAUCCCUGAGCUUAACUUAGGAAUUGCAUUCGAUACUGGGAAGCUAGAGUAUGGGAGAGGAUGGUAGAAUUCCAGGUGUAGCGGUGAAAUGCGUAGAGAUCUGGAGGAAUACCGAUGGCGAAGGCAGCCAUCUGGCCUAAUACUGACGCUGAGGUACGAAAGCAUGGGGAGCAAACAGGAUUAGAUACCCCGUAGUCCCUGUCUCUUAUACA
rnacentral:rRNA from 1 species